AAGGAUCAUUAAAGAAUACAGGCUUCGCGGCCGCUAUAUUCUCACCCUUUGUUAACUACACUUUGUUGCCUUGGCGCCUAGCGCCAGUGGACCAAAACUCUUGAAUCAUUGCUGUCUGAGUACUAUAUAAUAGUUAAAACUUUCAACAACGGAUCUCUUGGUUCUGGCAUCGAUGAAGAACGCAGCGAAAUGCGAUAAGUAAUGUGAAUUGCAGAAUUCAGUGAAUCAUCGAAUCUUUGAACGCACAUUGCGCCCCCUGGCAUUCCGGGGGGCAUGCCUGUUCGAGCGUCAUUACAACCCUCAAGCUCUGCUUGGUAUUGGGCUCGCCCCGUAGGGCCUGCCUCAAAAUCAGUGGCGGCCACUGUCCGACCCUUCAGCGCAGUACUACUCGCCGCUCGUAGGAGGAUGGGAAGCCGUUAUACAACCCCCACCAUACAAGGUUGACCUCGGAUCAGGUAGGGAUACCCGCUGAACUUAA
rnacentral:rRNA from 1 species